rnacentral:rRNA from 1 species
UCCUACGGGGCGCAGCAGUGGGGAAUAUUGCACAAUGGGGGAAACCCUGAUGCAGCAACGCCGCGUGAGUGAAGAAGUAUUUCGGUAUGUAAAGCUCUAUCAGCAGGGAAGACGUCGACGGUACCUGCAGAAGAAGCUCCGGCUAACUACGUGCCAGCAGCCGCGGUAAUACGUAGGGGGCGAGCGUUAUCCGGAUUCAUUGGGCGUAAAGCGCGCGUAGGCGGCCGCCUAAGCGGAACCUCUAACCCCGGGGCUCAACCUCGGGCCGGGUUCCGGACUGGGCGGCUCGAGUGCGGUAGAGGAGG